UACGUAGGGGGCAAGCGUUAUCCGGAAUCACUGGGCAUAAAGGGCGUGUAGGCGGCCGACCAAGUCCGGUGUGAAAUUUCAGGGCUCAACCCUGGACGUGCACUGGAAACUGGUUGGCUUGAGUGCAGGAGAGGAAAGUGGAAUUCCCAGUGUAGCGGUGAAAUGCGUAGAUAUUGGGAGGAACACCAGUGGCGAAGGCGACUUCCUGGCCUGUAACUGACGCUGAGGCGCGAAAGCUAGGGGAGCAAAC
rnacentral:rRNA from 2 species